rnacentral:rRNA from 1 species
AGUGAACGCUGGCGGUAGGCCUAACACAUGCAAGUCGAACGGCAGCACAGUAAGAGCUUGCUCUUACGGGUGGCGAGUGGCGGACGGGUGAGGAAUACAUCGGAAUCUACUUUUUCGUGGGGGAUAACGUAGGGAAACUUACGCUAAUACCGCAUACGACCUACGGGUGAAAGCAGGGGAUCUUCGGACCUUGUGCGAUUGAAUGAGCCGAUGUCGGAUUAGCUAGUUGGCGGGGUAAAGGCCCACCAAGGCGACGAUCCGUAGCUGGUCUGAGAGGAUGAUCAGCCACACUGGAACUGAGACACGGUCCAGACUCCUACGGGAGGCAGCAGUGGGGAAUAUUGGACAAUGGGGGAAAGCCUGAUCCAGCCAUACCGCGUGGGUGAAGAAGGCCUUCGGGUUGUAAAGCCCUUUUGUUGGGAAAGAAAAGCAGCAGGUUAAUACCCCGCUGUUCUGACGGUACCCAAAGAAUAAGCACCGGCUAACUUCGUG